rnacentral:miRNA from 1 species
GUACAAGGCUAAAUAGGGCCCUGGGAUGAGGCACCUGUGACAGGGAGGGGUGCAAAACCAAGGAGUAGUCUAGCCAACUCCUUGGUUUUGCACCCCUCCCUGUCACAGGUGCCUCAUCCCAGGGCCCUAUUUAGCCUUGUACU